AAUCGAACCCGGAGAUAGCUGGUUCUCCUCGAAAUAGCUUUAGGGCUAGCCUCGUUUUAGUCUUAUGGAGGUAGAGCACUGAAUUUCCGCGGGGGCGUCAAAGCUUACCAAAGAAUAUCAAACUCCGAAUGCCAUGUAGAUGAUGAACGGGAGUCAGACUGCACGAGAUAAGUUGGGCGGUCAAAAGGGAAAGAGCCCAGACCACCGGCUAAGGUCCCAAAGUGUGUGUUAAGUGGAAAAGGAUGUGGGAAUUCGAAGACAACUAGGAUGUUGGCUCAGAAGCAGCCAUACAUUCAAAGAGUGCGUAACAGCUCACUAGUCGAGAGUCCCUGCGCCGAAAAUGUCCGGGGCUGAAACACAACACCGAAGCCGUGGACUCCGUAAGGAGUGGUAGAGGAGCAUUCUUAAAACCGACGAAGCUGUACCGGUAAGGAGCAGUGGAGGGAUAAGAAGAGAGAAUGCCGGAAUGAGUAGCGAGAGGAAGGUGGGAAUCCUUCCGGCCGAAUAUCUAAGGUUUCCAGAGUAAAGCUGAUCUGCUCUGGGUAAGUCGGGGCCUAAGGAGAGGUCGCAAGACGUAUCCGAUGGACAACAGGUUUAGAUUCCUGUACCGCAUAUAAACAGAACUGUGGGGACGCAUGUGGAAAGCAUAAGCCGGGAAUGGAAAGACCGGUACAAGCGGGGUAGGUGUGUGACAGGCAAAUCCGUCAUAUAAGCCGAAGACGUGAUGUGGAGCGAAAUUUAGUAGUGAAGUAUGUGAGCCAUGUGCCGAGAAAAGCCGCUAUUGUUUUAUAUGUGCCCGUACCGUAAACCGACACAGGUGGAUGAGGAGAGAAUCCUAAGGCCGACGGAAGAAGCAUUGUUAAGGAAUUCGGCAAAAUGACCCCGUAACUUCGGGAGAAGGGGUGCCCACUGAAUGGUGGGCCGCAGAGAAUAGGCUCAAGCAACUGUUUAGCAAAAACACAGGUCUAUGCGAAACCGAAAGGUGAAGUAUAUGGGCUGACGCCUGCCCGGUGCUGGAAGGUUAAGAGGAGAGGUUAGCGCAAGCGAAGCUUUGAAUUUAAGCCCCAGUAAACGGCGGCCGUAACUAUAACGGUCCUAAGGUAGCGAAAUUCCUUGUCGGGUAAGUUCCGACCCGCACGAAAGGCGUAAUGAUUUGAGCGCUGUCUCGACAAUGCAUCCGGUGAAAUUGAAGUACCAGUGAAGAUGCUGGUUACCCGCGCCAGGACGGAAAGACCCCAUGGAGCUUUACUCCAGUUUGAUACUGGGAUUCGGUACUGCACGUACAGGAUAGGUGGGAGACUUAGAACUAUGGACGCCAGUCUGUAGGGAGUCGCUGUUGGGAUACCACCCCUGUAGUACUGGGUUUCUAACCAGCUGCCGUGACCCGGCAGUGGGACAAUGUCAGGCGGGGAGUUUGACUGGGGCGGUCGCCUCCGAAAGGGUAUCGGAGGCGCUCAAAGGUUCCCUCAGAAUGGUCGGAAACCAUUUGAAGAGUGCAAAGGCAGAAGGGAGCUUGACUGCGACACCGACGGGUGGAGCAGGUACGAAAGUAGGACUUAGUGAUCCGGUGGUAUGAAAGUGGGAUUGCCAUCGCUCAACGGAUAAAAGCUACCCUGGGGAUAACAGGCUUAUCACUCCCAAGAGUUCACAUCGACGGAGUGGUUUGGCACCUCGAUGUCGGCUCAUCGCAUCCUGGGGCUGUAGCAGGUCCCAAGGGUUGGGCUGUUCGCCCAUUAAAGCGGUACGCGAGCUGGGUUCAGAACGUCGUGAGACAGUUCGGUCCCUAUCCGGCGCGGGCGGAGGAUAUUUGAGAGGAGCUGUCCUUAGUACGAGAGGACCGGGAUGGACGGACCACUGGUGUAUCUGUUGUCGACCAACGGCAUGGCAGAGUAGCCAAGUCUGGAAGGGAUAAACGCUGAAGGCAUCUAAGCGUGAAGCCCCCCUCAAGAUGAGAUAUCCCUCCUUCGGGAGUAAGACCCCUUGA
rnacentral:rRNA from 1 species